rnacentral:rRNA from 1 species
CUACGGGGGGCAGCAGGCGCGAAACCUUUACAAUGCACGAAAGUGUGAUAAGGGAAUCCCAAGUGCUUAUGCUUAGCAUAGGCUUUUGCCAAGAGUAAAAAUCUUGGCGAAUAAGUGGUGGGAAAGACUGGUGCCAGCCGCCGCGGUAACACCAGCGCCACAAGUGGAUCCAUUAUUAUUGGGCCUAAAGCGUCCGUAGAUGGUUCGGUAAAUUUCUUGUGAAAUUGUCAAGCUUAACUUGACAGCGUGCAGGGAACACUGCUGAACUUGGGACUGGGAGAGGUCAAGAGUACUUUUGGGGGAGCGGUAAAAUGUUAUAAUCCCAAAAGGACUACCUAUGGCGAAGGCACUUGACCAGAACAGAUCCGACAUUGAGGGACGAAAGCUAGGGGAGCAAAACGGAUUAGAUACCCUUGUAGUC